rnacentral:ncRNA from 1 species
AUAAAUGCGAAGAAGAGAAGAAGUAGUGAUAAAAAAGAAUUCACAGAGAGCAGCCGGCUGGUGAGAGGCGCGAGCAUCGUUUAUCAUGAAUACAUCUUGGAGCAUCCGACUGAAAGACAAGCAUAAGCUACAAGUAAUAAGUAGGUUUGGACGGUGUUGUGCCCGUUACCGCACAGGGAUAUCAAAGCCAUUGCUUUUGUAUCUUACAGAGCCUGAAAGUGUGAGUUUUCAGGGAAAAAAGGUGGUACCACGAAUAAAUACGUCAAAGUAGAUUCGUCCUUUUG